rnacentral:misc_RNA from 1 species
UCCGGUUUAACACCGGCAGUCUCACUAGAGUCCCCGGCAUGACCCGUUGGCAACUAGUGAUAGGGGUUUCGCUCGUUAAGCGACUUAACGCGACACUUCACAGCACGAGCUGACGACAGCCAUGCAGCACCUGUGUACGUUCCACUACAAGAGUGUCAUCCGCCUUUCAGCGGACUAAUCCGUACAUGUCAAGCCCAGGAUAAGGUUCUUCGCGUUGCUUCGAAUUGAGCCACAUGCUCCACCGCUUGUGUGAGCCCCCGUCAAUUCCUUUGAGUUUUAGCCUUGCGACCGUACUCCCCAGGCGGUGCACUCAACGUUUUUACUUCGACCGAAAAAGGCGUCAGUACCUCCUCCGGUCUAGUGCACAUUGUUUAGGGCGUGGACUAC